AGAGUUUGAUCCUGGCUCAGAAUCAACGCUGGCGGCGUGCCUAACACAUGCAAGUCGAACGCGGUUACCUCGCAAGGGGUAACUGAGUGGCGAACGGGUGAGUAACGCGUGGGUGACCUACCUUCGAGCGGGGGAUAACGUCCCGAAAGGGACGCUAAUACCGCAUAACAUCCUGCCUUUGAACAGGUGGACAUCAAAGCUGGGGAUCGCAAGACCCGGCACUUGAAGAGGGGCCCGCGUCUGAUUAGCUAGUUGGUGAGGUAACGGCUCACCAAGGCGACGAUCAGUAUCCGGCCUGAGAGGGCGGACGGACACACUGGGACUGAGACACGGCCCAGACUCCUACGGGAGGCAGCAGUGGGGAAUUGUUCACAAUGGGCGCAAGCCUGAUGACGCAACGCCGCGUGGAGGAUGAAGGUCUUCGGAUUGUAAACUCCUGUUGCUCGGGACGAAAAGCUUCGACCUAACACGUCGAAGUCUGACGGUACCGGGUGAGGAAGCCCCGGCUAACUCUGUGCCAGCAGCCGCGGUAAUACAGAGGGGGCAAGCGUUGUUCGGAAUUACUGGGCGUAAAGGGCGCGUAGGCGGCCUGUUAAGUCGAACGUGAAAUCCCCGGGCUCAACCCGGGAACUGCGUCCGAUACUGGCAGGCUUGAAUCCGGGAGAGGGAUGUGGAAUUCCAGGUGUAGCGGUGAAAUGCGUAGAUAUCUGGAGGACAC
rnacentral:rRNA from 1 species